rnacentral:rRNA from 1 species
UAGGGAAUCUUCCACAAUGGGCGAAAGCCUGAUGGAGCAACGCCGCGUGUGUGAUGAAGGGUUCGGCUCGUAAAACACUGUUGUAAGAGAAGAAUGACAUUGAGAGUAACUGUUCAAUGUGUGACGGUAUCUUACCAGAAAGGAACGGCUAAAUACGUGCCAG